GGGCACUUGGCACAGUUGGUAGCGCGCACGCUUCGCACAAAGCGCGAUGGAUCCGUUCUGCGUGAGGUCGGGAGUUCAAAUCUCCCAGUGUCCA
rfam:Lentinula edodes NBRC 111202 DNA, contig: scaffold61.